CAGCAGUAGCAGGUCAGGAGUGCUCAGCCACUCAUUUGGGCUGUCUUAAGUAAAGUAAUCAGAUAACUUUAUGCAGGAAGAUUACAUUUUUUGAAAGAAAUGACACUUCCGUGUUGUAAAACGGUGUCAUUAAAGCAUGUUCUUUGCCUUUUUUGGCCCUCAGCACUAACAGACAAAGGAGACCAAAGGAAGGUAGCAUACACAGGCUACGAAACACGGCAGAGAUGAGGGAUUUCAAGGAGGUGUGGACUUCAAUUUAAUCGAAGAGGCGGAGAGUGGAGUGGAAGAGUGACACACAGAGGAGAGAAGUUCAUUAUUCUGCUGAAAAGGAGACCAAUGGCUUUCACAGUCGCCAUGGUAACUGGCCUUUCUUUUGCCGUCAGACCUAUGAUAAGUUGGUGUAAACAGUAGCUGACGGUGAAGCGGCCGAGGAUUAGUGAUGGAGAUAAGGAGACGUUAAAGAGUCAUCAUGCUUGUAUGGUGCCACUGUGUCUCAAAUGUCCUCAUGCUCUGGAGUGGCCUGUUAUUCCUGUCCCCGAGGGUGUGUUCUCUGCACAGCAGCUCCAGUAACAUAGGCAGGUGGAAACAUGGAGGCACACACAGCACUUGGACCCGGCAUGCCAAAUUUUAAAAUUAUUUCAGUUAGUUACAGUUAGGUAUUUCAUCACUGGUAUUUGUGACUCACAUGGUGUGUCCUGUUUAGGCCUUCCUUUAACCUUACUCAUUUAAACCACAAACAACUUUGAUGAUGAUGCUAGGAUUAUUUCUUUUUCCCUUUUUUUCCCCGCACUAUCGUAAUUCUGGUGUUAACAUUUUCAGUUCAAGAAUCAUCAAAGAAAUGCAGAGUACUGAAUGAUAUAUUUAGAAAUAGUCACACAUGAAAAUGAUGUUGCUGUAGAACACCAUAUAGAUGUAAUAAAAGGUUAUGAAAACAGUGUGGCAGCAGUAAUUACAGAGGGGAACAAAUAGUGAAUGAAUGACAUCUGUUUUUAUGGUUUGUGAAACGGAUGACAAACAAAUCAGGUUCAUAAGACACCGCCCAUGUGACAUUUACAAGAACUAAUCUACAAAUUCACAUAUACUUUAUAUGCAGUUGUAAAUUCUUAUAUACAAAAACACACAUUAUGUCACCUCACUGUACUGAUUUGAAAUGCUGCACUGUACAUAAAACAGACAAAAAAACAACAACCUAGAGCGGUCUUAAAUAUUAGGCCUUUACUAUAGGUAAUGUCUGUUCGAAGCUUUGAAAAUAAAAUCUGAAUAUUCAGAAACUUUGCCUCA